GUUCUGGAUGGAGCUCUGAGAUCUGCAAGAUAAGCUGUGCUGCCAGAAGGCUGAGUGUACGGCUGCUGCCCUGGUGGGGGGGUUUGGGAAGAGAGCUGUGGAAGAUACUGCCGCAAAGGCAAAGGAGACAGGCCAUGUUCCAGGAGGCAGAGAAACGCAGGAGGAAGGAGAACCUCACACAGGUUUGUAGAAUAAAAAGGAGAGUCAAAGCGAAGGACAGAACCCUGGUUCACAGCCACUCUAAGGAACUUCCAGCGUGUUUCCUUGUGGGUCUGUGACUCUGUACGGGGUUACAAGUACACAGCUCCUCUCUCCCUGCAGUGUGGGUCAGACCUUGGUGUCUUCUUCUCGAGAGAUGCAAGUGCCUUUCACUGCAAAGAUUCCUCUGCAGAUGCUUAACAGGGAGCUAAUCCGGCCUUUCCAUUUUUGCUAUUGCAGAGUGAAGACAAUUCCAGGGAGAUGGACAAGCAAGGGAAGGGGAGAAACAGUUGUCAUCCAGGUAGUCUCUAGCCAGCCUGCACCAAGUCCAAGUAAAGACAUAAAAGGGAAAGGAAAUGAGGAAAGGCAAGAUGCUGCUGCAUAUGAAUUUGGGCAUCUGCCUAUCCUCAAGAGAUGUUCCAGUGAAAACUGAACCAGAUACGGGAAGGACUUAGUGUCCAGAAGACUUCAGCUGGUGACAUUCUAUGAAAAUAUCACAGAAAAGGUACCAUCUCACGUCUCUGUUACACCUGGAAAGAUGCCCAAACCCAGAAAGGAAAUAUGCCUUUGAGAGCUACUGUGGUGUAAGUGCCGUAGAGCUGCUGCAAAUCAUGUCAUUCCAUUCUGCCUGCAAACAUUUUGCUUUGUAAGUGAUGUCACCCCUAAGAGCUAUUAGGGUAAGAUUACAUGCAAAACAUCUACUGAAGAGCUGGAUUCUCAUCUAUCAACAUAACAGUUUUCUCUUGUAAUCCUACAACUGCAACUGAUGUAGCCUUGGGAAAAACAUUUUUAAUUCAUGUGCUGUUCCGUUAGUUCUGUCAAACCUGCAUGUGCUGCUGGUUGUGUCCCUGGUUCUGUAAACCCUGACACGCUUUCUUAAUUUUAUUGUCCUACACAGUCAGCCAUACUAAAACCAAAUGGAAAUAUUCACAUUAGUAAGGCUAAGCCACUGCACACGUGUUUGCCAAUGGUCUGCAUUGGUACAUCACUUAGCACAAGCGGGCUCCAGUCUGGCCGAGCUCUCGCUGGGCGCUGCUGUAAUCUAGACGCAAUAAUGUGGAGGUCUCCAAUAUUAACCUGACUGUACCGAGCUACUUACCUCCGAAUAGAGAAUAUCAAUGGUUGAGUAAUUUCACAUUAUGUUGAGUUUACAUUAUAAAAUACUGAUUUUGGCAUAAGCCCCUACUGCUAGAGUUAGAGUAUGCCUAAAGCUAUAAGCUAAAGUUAUCGAUCAAACCCCUUUUGUUUAUGGGGAUAAAAACAAGUGGCAAAGUUCCUUAUAUAAACUUGGAACAGAUGAAUCCCUGAGAGCCAAACAGACCAGGGAGUGGGCAGGGAGGGUAAAGCUGUCAGUCGUGAGGCAGAAAAUGGAGUUACACUGAAUUAGCAUUUUCUUUGGAAAGUAGCAGGAAGAUAAAAUUAAUAUAUUGCAGUAAGGGGGAGAUACUUUAUAAUCCAUCAUUUUCUACUAGAGCUUGUUAAGAAAUAACUAGUCAUGUGAAAAAACCUCCACCAAAUUAGGGGAAGCAGUUAAUCUGCAGACAAUUUAAUAAGGAUUUAACUGAAAUAUAAACUGAAUAAUUUUGAACUUAAACAAUGGCUUGAACCCUGAAGAAGUUAUUUUCAGUCUGGAAAAAAGUUACUAUUUUAUCUAUAAUUAAAAUGGGUGAGCGCCAUGACAUGGGGAACUACAGGCCCCGUAGUCUGCCCUGAGGAGAAAUUAUAGAGAACAUGCUGUAUACAGUAUCAUAACUAACGCCAAUCAAGAUGACAAGGUCAGACAGUGCCCCGGUACAAAGGCUGCGGAACGGACGUGGCUUCUUCCUAACCCUUCUCACGUCAGAUCGUGUCAUGUUUUCAGCUGGCAGGAACCGAAGGCUUUCCAGUUCUGCACAGUGCCAUAAUGUCCUGGUAGCUUCUGGUAACUGAUAUAUUUUGCUGAGAAGCCAAAGAGAAGACCAGGUGUUACACCAGGAACCCAGAAAUUCACAUCUGAACAAAACUGUAUCAAGCACAUUUGGACAAAAUUACAAAUCUGGUUGAUAAAUUCUGAAAUGAUUACUUGAUGUAACAGACUUUUUGAAAGCAUUUAUAAGUUAUUAAAUAUGUACUCAUUAAUUUUUUGAUACAGAAAAUUACAGCAUAUAAAUAACUCAUGCUGAUUCACAAGCUGCUAGAUAUCAGACAGAAGCAGCAGCAUAGAUAUUUGAUGGAAAAAGCUUACAGGCUUAGGUUGUUCUACAAAGCUUCUGCUGGAGCAGAAUUAAAUUACUAUAUAAUGACACUCACAUUAGAAGAAAAAGUGAAGU